rnacentral:rRNA from 1 species
GACGACGCUGGCGGCGUGCCUAACACAUGCAAGUCGAGCGAGUGGAGUUCUUCGGAACAAAGCUAGCGGCGGACGGGUGAGUAACACGUGGGCAACCUGCCUCAUAGAGGGGAAUAGCCUCCCGAAAGGGAGAUUAAUACCGCAUAAGAUUGUAGCUUCGCAUGAAGUAGCAAUUAAAGGAGCAAUCCGCUAUGAGAUGGGCCCGCGGCGCAUUAGCUAGUUGGUGAGGUAACGGCUCACCAAGGCGACGAUGCGUAGCCGACCUGAGAGGGUGAUCGGCCACAUUGGGACUGAGACACGGCCCAGACUCCUACGGGAGGCAGCAGUGGGGAAUAUUGCACAAUGGGGGAAACCCUGAUGCAGCAACGCCGCGUGAGUGAUGACGGCCUUCGGGUUGUAAAGCUCUGUCUUCAGGGACUAUAAUGACGGUACCUGAGGAGGAAGCCACGGCUAACUACGUG